AUUGAACGCUGGCGGCAGGCCUAACACAUGCAAGUCGAGCGGAUGAAGGGAGCUUGCUCCUGGAUUCAGCGGCGGACGGGUGAGUAAUGCCUAGGAAUCUGCCUGGUAGUGGGGGAUAACGUCCGGAAACGGGCGCUAAUACCGCAUACGUCCUGAGGGAGAAAGUGGGGGAUCUUCGGACCUCACGCUAUCAGAUGAGCCUAGGUCGGAUUAGCUAGUUGGUGGGGUAAAGGCCUACCAAGGCGACGAUCCGUAACUGGUCUGAGAGGAUGAUCAGUCACACUCGAACUGAGACACGGUCCAGACUCCUACGGGAGGCAGCAGUGGGGAAUAUUGGACAAUGGGCGAAAGCCUGAUCCAGCCAUGCCGCGUGUGUGAAGAAGGUCUUCGGAUCGUAAAGCACUUUAAGUUGGGAGGAAGGGCAGUAAGUUAAUACCUUGCUGUUUUGACGUUACCAACAGAAUAAGCACCGGCUAACUUCGUG
rnacentral:rRNA from 1 species